rnacentral:rRNA from 1 species
GACGAACGCUGGCGGCGUGCCUAAUACAUGCAAGUAGAACGCUGAAGGAGGAGCUUGCUUCUCCGGAUGAGUUGCGAACGGGUGAGUAACGCGUAGGUAACCUGCCUGGUAGCGGGGGAUAACUAUUGGAAACGAUAGCUAAUACCGCAUAACAGUAGAUAUCGCAUGAUAUCUGCUUGAAAGGUGCAAUUGCAUCACUACCAGAUGGACCUGCGUUGUAUUAGCUAGUUGGUGAGGUAACGGCUCACCAAGGCGACGAUACAUAGCCGACCUGAGAGGGGGAUCGGCCACACUGGGACUGAGACACGGCCCAGACUCCUACGGGAGGCAGCAGUAGGGAAUCUUCGGCAAUGGACGGAAGUCUGACCGAGCAACGCCGCGGGAGUGAAGAAGGUUGUCGGAUCGUAAAGCUCUGUUGUAAGAGAAGAACGAGUGUGAGAGUGGAAAGUUCACACUGUGACGGUAUCUUACCAGAAAGGGACGGCUAACUACGUG